ACGUAGGGGGCAAGCGUUGUCCGGAAUUACAAGGCGUAAAGCGCACGCAGGUGGUUCGUUAAGUCGGAUGUGAAAGAACGGGGCUCAACCCCGGUUUGGGUUCGAUACUGGCGGACUGGAGUGUCGGAGAGGGAAGUGGAAUUUCCGGUGUAGCGGUGAAAUGCGUAGAUAUCGGGAGGAACACCAGUGGCGCAGGCGGCUUCCUGGCAGACAACUGACGCUCAUGUACGAAAGCUGGGGGAGCAAACGG
rnacentral:rRNA from 1 species